AGCGAACGCUGGCGGCAGGCCUAACACAUGCAAGUCGAACGAACUCUUCGGGGUUAGGGGCGGCCGGGGGGGUAACACGUGGGAACGUGCCUUUUGGUUCGGAAUACCUCAGGGAAACUUGUGCUAAUACCGAAUGUGCCCUUCGGGGGAAAGAUUUAUCGCCAUUAGAGCGGCCCGCGUCUGAUUAGCUAGUUGGUGAGGUAACGGCUCACCAAGGCGACGAUCAGUAGCUGGUCUGAGAGGAUGACCAGCCACACUGGGACUGAGACACGGCCCAGACUCCUACGGGAGGCAGCAGUGGGGAAUCUUGCGCAAUGGGCGAAAGCCUGACGCAGCCAUGCCGCGUGAAUGAUGAAGGUCUUAGGAUUGUAAAAUUCUUUCACCGGGGACGAUAAUGACGGUACCCGGAGAAGAAGCCCCGGCUAACUUCGUG
rnacentral:rRNA from 1 species